ensembl:ribozyme RNaseP_nuc Nuclear RNase P
GUUGGAGGGGAGCGCAUCAGUGGGAUUAUGAGCUAAGUACCACAUUUUCCUCUAAUCCAUGUUGGGAAGAUCUGAUACCAGGGCUAACAGCAGCUCUAACAGGGUCCUCCCUGAUCCUCAUCAAGGUGAGUUCUUAGAAAACACUGCUCUGGGCCUGGGCAGUCUUGGUAGGAAUGUAUAAAGCCUGCCCUUGGGGAAGAGCCUGGUGUAGGCAUGCUUAUCUGGAGUUUGAAAUAUGCUCUUGCCACUUUCUGAAGCAUACUAGAAUUCUCUUUAAC